GGAGAGGUGGCCGAGCGGUCGAAGGCGCGCGCUUGGAAAGCGCGUAUGCCCGAAAGGGCAUCGCAGGUUCAAAUCCUGUCCUCUCCGCCA
rnacentral:tRNA from 1 species